GAAUAGGGGAGCCGGAGGGAAACCGAGUCUUAAUUGGGCGUUAAGUUGCAGGGUAUAGACCCGAAACCCGGUGAUCUAGCCAUGGGCAGGUUGAAGGUUGGGUAACACUAACUGGAGGACCGAACCGACUAAUGUUGAAAAAUUAGCGGAUGACCUGUGGCUGGGGGUGAAAGGCCAAUCAAACCGGGAGAUAGCUGGUUCUCCCCGAAAGCUAUUUAGGUAGCGCCUCGUGAAUUCAUCUCCGGGGGUAGAGCACUGUUUCGGCUAGGGGGCCAUCCCGGCUUACCAACCCGAUGCAAACUGCGAAUACCGGAGAAUGUUAUCACGGGAGACACACGGCGGGUGCUAACGUCCGUCGUGAAGAGGGAAACAACCCAGACCGCCAGCUAAGGUCCCAAAGUCAUGGUUAAGUGGGAAACGAUGUGGGAAGGCCCAGACAGCCAGGAUGUUGGCUUAGAAGCAGCCAUCAUUUAAAGAAAGCGUAAUAGCUCACUGGUCGAGUCGGCCUGCGCGGAAGAUGUAACGGGGCUAAACCAUGCACCGAAGCUGCGGCAG
rnacentral:rRNA from 1 species